GGGCCAUUAGCUCAUUUGGUAGAGCACCACAUUUGCAAUGUGGGGGUGACCGGUUCGAAUCCGGUAUGGUCCACCA
rnacentral:tRNA from 1 species